AGUGAACGCUGGCGGUAGGCCUAACACAUGCAAGUCGAACGGCAGCACAGUAAGAGCUUGCUCUUACGGGUGGCGAGUGGCGGACGGGUGAGGAAUACAUCGGAAUCUACUUUUUCGUGGGGGAUAACGUAGGGAAACUUACGCUAAUACCGCAUACGACCUACGGGUGAAAGCAGGGGAUCUUCGGACCUUGCGCGACUGAAUGAGCCGAUGUCGGAUUAGCUAGUUGGCGGGGUAAAGGCCCACCAAGGCGACGAUCCGUAGCUGGUCUGAGAGGAUGAUCAGCCACACUGGAACUGAGACACGGUCCAGACUCCUACGGGAGGCAGCAGUGGGGAAUAUUGGACAAUGGGCGCAAGCAUGAUCCAGCCAUACCGCGUGGGUGAAGAAGGCCUUCGGGUUGUAAAGCCCUUUUGUUGGGAAAGAAAAGCAGCAGGUUAAUACCCCGCUGUUCUGACGGUACCCAAAGAAUAAGCACCGGCUAACUUCGUG
rnacentral:rRNA from 1 species